UUUUCCUACGGGAGGCAGCAGUGGGGGAUAUUGCACAAUGGGGGAAACCCUGAUGCAGCGACGCCGCGUGGGCGAAGAGGUAUUUCGGUAUGUAAAGCCCUAUCAGCAGGGAAGAAGAAAUGACGGUACCUGAGUAAGAAGCACCGGCUAAAUACGUGCCAGCAGCCGCGGUAAUACGUAUGGUGCAAGCGUUAUCCGGAUUUACUGGGUGUAAAGGGAGCGCAGGCGGCACGGCAAGCCUGAUGUGAAAGCCCGCGGCACAACCGCGGGACGGACUUGGGAACUACCGUGCUGGA
rnacentral:rRNA from 1 species